AUUGAACGCUGGCGGCAGGCCUAACACAUGCAAGUCGAGCGAGCGGCGGACGGGUGAGUAAUGUCUGGGGAACUGCCCGAUAGAGGGGGAUAACUACUGGAAACGGUAGCUAAUACCGCAUACUAUCGGAUGUACCCAGAUGGGAUUAGCUAGUAGGUGGGGUAAAGGCUCACCUAGGCGACGAUCCCUAGCUGGUCUGAGAGGAUGACCAGCCACACUGGAACUGAGACACGGUCCAGACUCCUACGGGAGGCAGCAGUGGGGAAUAUUGCACAAUGGGCGCAAGCCUGAUGCAGCCAUGCCGCGUGUAUGAAGAAGGCCUUAGGGUUGUAAAGUACUUUCAGCGGGGAGGCGUUACCCGCAGAAGAAGCACCGGCUAACUCCGUGCCAGCAGCCGCGGUAAUUC
rnacentral:rRNA from 1 species